rnacentral:lncRNA from 1 species
AGAAGAGCUAAGUGAUCUUCUUGUCCAUGUUUGUGAUGAGCUUCUUCAUCUGAAAUCUCCAGAAACAGAAGUAAGCGAAGCCAAAUCCAAUCAACACAUACAACCAAAUCUUAUCUUCACCACCUUCCUUCUCCGACCAAACCUCUUCUAUACCAAACCAUUCCCUCGCUCCUUCUUCUUUGUAACUACUUCCCAUUAUCCCCUCCAUCACUCUCCCAUACAACACAUAUAUCCUAUCCCGUCCCGCAACCGUCACCGCGGUCGGAAAGCCCUCGAUGUCGAGGUCAAUUUCGUCGUAAACAACUCCUUCGCUCCAGCUAUCUUGGCUUUUGAGUAACCAAAGCUUCUUCUGUGACACCACCAUGACUGUGCCGUCUCUCCGUCUCCUCGUCAUCCCGUCCGCCGCAAUCAGAUCACCGUUUAACAACACCAGCCUCGCAUUCCCGCUAUCUUCGUCAACUUUGAAUACCUUCCCUGUGUUGCUCUGCACCACCAGGAGAUAGCCUUUGCUGAUGUACACGAUCCCGUUCAAGCCGCAAUCGCGGAAACUUGCGUCCGCGUCUGCCGCCACAGGCUGCGAAUUGAACAACGGCGAUUUGGAGAAGAUCGAAGCUGCGCCGUCGCGAUCGACUUUCCAGAUGAAGUUUUUGGCUGAGUUGGUGACGUAAGCGUUGCCUUUGAAAUCAACCGCCACGUCAUUGGCGACAUCACGAGCGAUGUCUUCGUCGUCUCCGGGAAGAGACGGGAGAGGAGAGAGGAAUACACGACGGCCUCCGCUGCGGAGAUCGUAGGAGGCUAGGGCACUGAAGGGAGGGAGAGGCGGCAAACUCUGGAUACAGGCAAGGAGACGGCGAUUAGUAGAGUCAACGGCGAGACCGAGGAUAGUGGAGUUCUCCGGUAGAUCGAGAUCGGAGAUUAGGGUUUCGAUGACUCCAGCGUCGGAGACGGAAUGAAUUGUGCGGCUGUGGAGAGAACCGACUAGAAAAUGCUGGUCCCUUGGAUCCCAGGUUAGUCCCUCCGGGUAGAGUCCCGGCGAUCGGAAGUUGAUAACGUGGCGGUUAUCGGCGGAGGAGGGAAUCAGAAGUCCCAGGAACAAGACGGCGAAGAGAAUUGGGAAGACGAAGAAGGA